UGUGGAUGUGUGCCGGCUUCCCUGGAAGUCAUGAAUGUUGAAGCCAAUUCUCACGGAGGAGGGCGAGGCCGGGACAUGAUGCUGCACACCCAGCUCCUAAUCAGGCUAAUCAAGCCCUCGAGAGGGAUAAAGGCAACCGGAGGCGGCAAUUAGAGAGAGAGAAGGAGGAGGGAUGUGUUGUAGUAGAGUCCUCACCACUACCAUCCACCCCAACGGAGCAGCCGCGGCCAUCCGCCGGGGGACAGAGGAGCCCGGCUGCCUGAGAGUGGAGGAACGGCCGCCGACUGCGAGGGGAGGAGGGGCUCCUAGCCGACCGCCUGGAGUGGUCAGGGCCACUGCCAGGGGCGGAGGAGACCCCUACCGGCCGCUAAAACGCGGCGGGGUCAAGAGAGGACCGCCAACCACGAGCGGGGAAGGGCUCCUGGCCGACCGCCUGGAAUGGGAGAACUGCUGCCAGGGGCGGGGGAGACUACGGCAAGCACCAAGGGGAUAAAUACACAAUCACACACAUACACAGGGCAAAGUCACUUUAUGAAUUGCAUCCUUCAUCUGUUACGAUUGUUUAUGUUCACGUGGUACUCCUGUUUUUAUUUAACCGAUCUCCACGUAACAGGGAAGCAGAGAGAAAGUUGAAAUGAGUCAGAAUGUCUCCCCACUACCAUUCUGAACCGGUGUGUGUGUGUGUGUGACAGAGCUCCGGCUAAAGAGAACGAGACCUCAAGCACAACAUUUGGUAGGUGUGACACCCUCUGCCAAAAUUUAAGUUGUUCUGAACCGGCUAAUGAGAUGCCGGCUUUAAUAUACUGCAAUAAGUAUAACUUUAGACCUAUUUGUUGACUUCGCUGCCUGGCACGACGUCGCAGAAAUAGAAUCCAUUCCAAAAAUAGAAAGCCCUGUCGCUAUUGCCUGUCAUGGCUAGUAAGGAACAAAAAACUUUUAUCGCACAUCGUGGCAUCGCGUCUGGUUAGGACACGGUGUUACACAACCAAAAUAAUAUUAGGGUCAGAGAAAAGGACAAUAACAAUAUUUAAACAAUGUUUAAUGGUUCAUGUCUUCUGUUCAUCAUAUGGCUGUUCCUUUGUGACUGAGAUUGUUAAAAUAUCUUGAAAAAUGUUUUGUGGCAUACUAGGUGUACUAUGUAUCCUUUUAUUCUAAUUCUAUUCACCUUAUUUUGCAAUGCGGAAGUAAGCAGCGGCUGCAUUUCUAGCGAAUGUGACAAAGUUCCGCUUGGCAUUGACUGCAGUGUAAAUAACUAGAAGGUUAUACAGAAUUUUGUGAUAUGGGCUUAGAAAAUGUCGCACAACCAAAGGAUGUACAGCAGAAUUAUGUGCCAAUGUCGGAUAAUUUUCUCACAUCAGCAUUUGGAGUAAAAGAGUAAGUAAAUCAUUCACUUGUUGAUGUGUGUUGUUGUAUUGAAGAGAUGGUAAUAUAUUCUGCUUCUUUCUUUACCGAGAUCGUGGC